rnacentral:rRNA from 1 species
AUUGAACGCUGGCGGCAGGCCUAACACAUGCAAGUCGGACGGUAGCACAGAGCAGCUUGCUCCUCGGGUGACGAGUGGCGGACGGGUGAGUAAUGUCUGGGGAUCUGCCCGAUAGAGGGGGAUAACCACUGGAAACGGUGGCUAAUACCGCAUAACGUCGCAAGACCAAAGAGGGGGACCUUCGGGCCUCUCACUAUCGGAUGAACCCAGAUGGGAUUAGCUAGUAGGCGGGGUAAUGGCCCACCUAGGCGACGAUCCCUAGCUGGGCUGAGAGGAUGACCAGCCCCACUGGAACUGAGACACGGUCCAGACUCCUACGGGAGGCAGCAGUGGGGAAUAUUGCACAAUGGGCGCAAGCCUGAUGCAGCCAUGCCGCGUGUAUGAAGAAGGCCUUCGGGUUGUAAAGUACUUUCAGCGGGGAGGAAGGCGAUAAGGUUAAUAACCUUGUCGAUUGACGUUACCCGCAGAAGAAGCACCGGCUAACUCCGUGCCAGCAGCCGCCGUAA